UCAAUGUCAAAGCUGCUGUGAGUUCUU
rnacentral:piRNA from 1 species